UACGUAGGGGGCUAGCGUUGUCCGGAAUCAUUGGGCGUAAAGAGCGUGUAGGCGGCUCGGUAAGUCGGUUGUGAAAGUCCAGGGCUCAACCCUGGGAUGCCGACCGAUACUGUCGGACUAGAGUUCGGAAGAGGCGAGUGGAAUUCCCGGUGUAGCGGUGAAAUGCGCAGAUAUCGGGAGGAACACCAAUGGCGAAGGCAGCUCGCUGGGACGUUACUGACGCUGAGACGCGAAAGCGUGGGGAGCAAACAGG
rnacentral:rRNA from 1 species